UACAGAGGUGGCAAGCGUUGUUCGGAAUUACUGGGCGUAAAGGGCGCGUAGGCGGCCUACUAAGUCAGACGUGAAAUCCCCCGGCUUAACCUGGGAACUGCGUCUGAUACUGGAAGGCUUGAGGAUGGGAGAGGGAUGUAGAAUUCCAGGUGUAGCGGUGAAAUGCGUAGAUAUCUGGAGGAAUACCGGUGGCGAAGGCGGCAUCCUGGACCAUUACUGACGCUGAGGCGCGAAAGCUAGGGGAGCAAACGGGG
rnacentral:rRNA from 1 species